rnacentral:rRNA from 1 species
UACAGAGGUCCCGAGCGUUAUUCGGAUUCAUUGGGCGUAAAGGGUGCGUAGGCGGCGGGGCAAGUCUGAUGUGAAAUCCCGGGGCUCAACCCCGGAACUGCAUUGGAUACUGCCUUGCUCGAGUACUGGAGAGGGAACUGGAAUUUACGGUGUAGCAGUGAAAUGCGUAGAGAUCGUAAGGAAGGCCAGUGGCGAAGGCGAGUUCCUGGACAGUUACUGACGCUGAGGCACGAAGGCCAGGGGAGCAAACGGG